ensembl:lncRNA
AUGGUACAGAGUCAAUGUGGAGACUAUAUACAGGGGGUACCGGUACAGAGUCAAUGUGGAGACUAUAUACAGGGUGUACCGGUACAGAGUCAAUGUGGAGGCUAUAUACAGGGGGUACCGGUACAGAGUCAAUGUGGAGGCUAUAUACAGGGGGUACCGAUACAGAGUCAAUGUGGAGACUAUAUACAGGGGGGUACCGGUACAGAGUCAAUGUGGAGACUAUAUACAGGGGGUACCGGUACAGAGUCAAUGUGGAGGCUAUAUACAGGGGGUACCGAUACAGAGUCAAUGUGGAGGCUAUAUACAGGGGGGUACCGAUACAGAGUCAAUGUGGAGGCUAUAUACAGGGGGUACCGGUACAGAGUCAAUGUGGAGGCUAUAUACAGGGGGUACCGGUACAGAGUCAAUGUGGAGGCUAUAUACAGGGUGUUACGGUACAGAGUCAAUGUGGAGGCUAUAUACAGGGUGUUACGGUACAGAGUCAAUGUGGAGGCUAUAUACAGGGUGUACCGGUACAGAGUCAAUGUGGAGGCUAUAUACAGGGGGUACUGGUACAGAGUCAAUGUGGAGGCUAUAUACAGGGGGUACUGGUACA